GCCUUGGUGGUUCAGUGGCAGGAUUCUCUUCUUCCACAAGGGAGACCCAGGUUCAAUUUCUGGCCAAGGCA